rnacentral:rRNA from 1 species
UACGGAGGGUGCGAGCGUUGUCCGGAAUCACUGGGCGUAAAGGGCGCGUAGGCGGCCUGAUAAGUAGGGGGUGAAAUCCUGCGGCUUAACCGCAGGGCUGCCUUCUAAACUGUCAGGCUCGAGCACAGUAGAGGCAGGUGGAAUUCCCGGUGUAGCGGUGGAAUGCGCAGAUAUCGGGAGGAACACCGGUGGCGAAGGCGGUUCUCUGGGCCUUACCUGACGCUGAGGAGCGAAAGCGUGGGGAGCGAACAGG